GUUUCCGUAGUGUAGUGGUUAUCACGUCCGCUUUACACGCGGAAGGUCCCCGGUUCGAGCCCGAGCGGAAACA
rnacentral:tRNA from 1 species